GGAGACAUACCCAAGAGGCCGAAGGGGCGCCCCUGCUAAGGGUGUAGGGUGGAUCAAACCGCCGCGAGAGUUCAAAUCUCUCUGUCUCCG
rnacentral:tRNA from 1 species